rnacentral:rRNA from 1 species
GACGAACGCUGGCGGCGUGCUUAACACAUGCAAGUCGAGCGGUAAGGCCCUUUCGGGGGUACACGAGCGGCGAACGGGUGAGUAACACGUGGGUGACCUGCCCUCAGCUCUGGGAUAAGCCUGGGAAACGUGGGUCUAAUACUGGAUAUGACUCCACGGUGCAUGUCGUGGGGUGGAAAGCCUUGUGCGGCUGAGGAUGGGCCCGCGGCCUAUCAGCUUGUUGGUGGGGUGA